rnacentral:rRNA from 1 species
AGUGAACGCUGGCGGUAGGCCUAACACAUGCAAGUCGAACGGCAGCACAGUAAGAGCUUGCUCUUACGGGUGGCGAGUGGCGGACGGGUGAGGAAUACAUCGGAAUCUACUUUUUCGUGGGGGAUAACGUAGGGAAACUUACGCUAAUACCGCAUACGACCUACGGGUGAAAGCAGGGGAUCUUCGGACCUUGCGCGAUUGAAUGAGCCGAUGUCGGAUUAGCUAGUUGGCGGGGUAAAGGCCCACCAAGGCGACGAUCCGUAGCUGGUCUGAGAGGAUGGCGAGGAAAAGGGGGAUUGAUAAACGGGGAAGACACAGAAGGGAGGCAGCAGGGGGGAAGUGGGGAAAAGGGGCGCAGGAGGGAUAGCGCCAUGGCGGGAGAAGGACGAAGGCCGUAGGGUUGUAAACUGCCCUGAGAAGGAAAGAAAAGGAUGUGGAGAAAACCUGGGGAUCAGGACGGGAAAGAAAGAACAAGCAAAGGCUAAUUACGUG